UCUAAUACCGGAUAAUACUGCGGACUGCAUGGUCUGUGGUUGAAAGCUCCGGCGGUGAAGGAUGAGCCCGCGGCCUAUCAGCUUGUUGGUGGGGUGAUGGCCCACCAAGGCGACGACGGG
rnacentral:rRNA from 1 species